rnacentral:rRNA from 1 species
AUUGAACGCUGGCGGCGUGCUUAACACAUGCAAGUCGAUCGGUAACAGGUGUAGCAAUACAUGCUGACGAGAGGCGGACGGGUGAGUAAUGCUUGGGAAUCUGCCUAUUAGUGGGGGACAACCCGGGGAAACGUCGGGCUAAUACCGCAUACGCUCUACGGAGGAAAGCCGGGGACCGCAAGGCCUGGCGCUAAUAGAUGAGCCCAAGUCGGAUUAGCUAGUUGGUAGGGUAACGGCCUACCAAGGCGACAAUCCGUAGCUGGUCUGAGAGGACGACCAGCCACACCGGAACUGAGACACGGUCCGGACUCCUACGGGAGGCAGCAGUGGGGAAUAUUGGACAAUGGGGGCAACCCUGAUCCAGCGACGCCGCGUGGGUGAAGAAGGCCUGCGGGUUGUAAAGCCCUUUCGGUGGGGAAGAAAAGUCUCGACCUAAUACGUCGGGACCUUGACGUAACCCACUAAAGAAGCACCGGCUAACUCUGUGCCAGCAGCCG